GAACAAGGAGUGAGAGGUACCAUAACAAUUUCUGCAUGAAAUCUAUAUAUAAGCCUUACUCAUGAAGUAUAAAGCAUGUCGUGAAUCCUCCCGAAAGAGAGGAGUGCCUUCAGGAAAGCGGACACAGGUGGUGCAUGGUUGUCGUCAGCUUGUGCUGUAAGGUGUUGGGUUAAGCCCUGCAACAAGCGCAACGCUCAUGUUUAGUUGCCAGCAUUGAGUUUGGAACCCUAAACAGAUUGUCGCUGAUAAGCCAAAGGAAGGUGAGGAUGAUGUCAAGUCAUCAUGCCCCUUACACCCUGGGUGACACACGUGCUACAAUGACUGGGACAAAGGGUCGCGACCCCACGAGAGCAAGCUAACCUCAAAAACCCGGCCUCAGUUCUGAUUGCAGGUUGCAACUCGCUUGCAUGAAAUUGAAAUCACUAGUAAUCGUCGGUCAGCCAUACGGAAAUGAAUCUAUUCCC
rnacentral:ncRNA from 1 species